CCUACGGGGGCUGCAGUGGGGAAUAUUGCACAAUGGGCGCAAGCCUGAUGCAGCCAUGCCGCGUGUGUGAAGAAGGCCUUCGGGUUGUAAAGCACUUUCAGCGGGGAGGAAGGCGGUGAGGUUAAUAACCUCAUCGAUUGACGUUACCCGCAGAAGAAGCACCGGCUAACUCCGUGCCAGCAGCCGCGGUAAUACGGAGGGUGCAAGCGUUAAUCGGAAUUACUGGGCGUAAAGUGCACGCAGGCGGUCUGUCAAGUCGGAUGUGAAAUCCCCGGGCUCAACCUGGGAACUGCAUUCGAAACUGGCAGGCUAGAGUCUUGUAGAGGGGGGUAGAAUUCCAGGUGUAGCGGUGAAAUGCGUAGAGAUCUGGAGGAAUACCGGUGGCGAAGGCGGCCCCCUGGACAAAGACUGACGCUCAGGUGCGAAAGCGUGGGGAGCAAACAGGAUUAGAUACCCCAGUAGUC
rnacentral:rRNA from 1 species